UGUAGCUCAGUUGGAUAGAGCGUGAGUUUCCGAAGCUCAAGGCCGUGGGUUCAAAUCCCGCCA
rnacentral:tRNA from 1 species